GUUGCAUGGUCGAUGAAGAUGACCGUCUUAGGAAGUGCCGUCUUAAUUGCUUUGAUUAAAGUUAGGACGCUGAGGCCA
rfam:Angiostrongylus costaricensis strain Costa Rica genome assembly, scaffold: ACOC_contig0000032